GAAUUUCUCAAAGGAUGACUUCAGACAGGUCUGUUUCUGCUGGUCGACAUAAUUAGAUGCUCACAGUGACUGUCAUUCUCAUUGAAGUGCUGGAAACCUGUUCUUGUGGUAUAAAGAAAAGUUUCUGGAUGGGAUGAAUAAAACUUGGUGACACAAAUGCAUCACGUUCUUAUAUGUCUUCAAUCCAGCACUCGCCAGACAUACUACCUCUUUUGAUUCUAGAUAGAUGUAAAAGCACAAGUAAUGGCUUUAAUGAGCCUGAAAGAGGUAGGUUCCCGGAUUCUCAUUCUUUUGGGAAUGAAUAAAAAUAGGUUUAUUUGUAAGUUGCUCUGUUUCCAAGUCUUCCCACCAUUUGCUAAUCACUAUCCUUUCUCCACUUUUCGCCCACCCUUUUUCUCUCAUCUUCCUUCACAAGAUUAGCAAUAUUUCCUCAAAAGAACCGACACCAGUAUUGGGCCUCAGCCCUCCAUCCUUUUUUAUUCUCAUCUUUCUUCACAAGAUAAAUUGUAUCUUGACACAACCAUUUCUUGAGUGAAAACUCCCAAACACCUUUCUUAUGGAAGUUUUGGGAUCAAGUUGUGUAUUACUUCCUGCCAUUAGUUUUGGGCGAGUGAAGUAGCUAUUUUUCUUCGUAGCUAAAAGAGCUUUGCAUCUGAUAAUAUUCAUCUACACAUCAUCUACAUUUGUGAUUUCUUUCUCUAUGUGACUAAUGGUACCAUCACAUGAACAAUACUUAGAUUGCGGAUUUGGUUUCUGUUUUCACAUCUUACAUCAAACCCAUUAGCCUUGUGUGGUAGUUGCUGGAUCACUUAAUGAUUUGGGAAAAGAUAUUUUAAUCAUUUCAAGAUAAUCUUUAACUGAUGAUGCUUUUCCAGAUACACAGCGAUUGUGCACUUCCAAAUGCUUAUUAUGUCAAGUAAAAGACAAUCUGAUGGCAUGCAAUGCAACCACUUUUGCUCUUGUUGCGGUAGAAUUUGGCGUUAAAAGGAAAAUGAUAGUUGCUUAUAUGCUUUCUGCUGAGACAUUGCUCUAUGUUAUGCAGUACCUACCAAGGUUACAGCCAGAGAACUUGGCUCACAACGCCAAGUUAUUUGACCGAGUGAAUGAAAUUGCACAAAGAAAGGGAUGCACCCCAUCGCAGUUAGCCCUCGCCUGGGUACACCACCAGGGUGAUGAUGUUUGCCCGAUUCCCGGCACAACCAAGAUCGAGAAUUUCAACCAGAACAUUGGGGCUCUGUCAGUGAAGUUUACACCAGAAGAGAUGGCUGAGCUCGAAUCGAUUGCUUCUGCGGACAAUGUCAAGGGUGACAGGUACGAUAGCAGCGUUCCUACAUGGGAAAACUCCGACACUCCACCUCUUUCUUCAUGGAAACCUGCCUAGAAACAUGUCUGCUUCUGGUGCUGCAUCUUUGAUAUGCAGAGUUUGAGCAUUUGCUGCUGAGGUAAUUUGAGGCUAUGUUGUGUGGCUGUUAUAAGUACGUGUAAUAAAAGAGUUCGUUAUCUUGUAAUAAAAUCUGAACUCCAGAGAGUGACUGUUUUCGUUUUGUACAUGUGACAUUCAAUAUGAGAAGAUUAUAGAUGUGUACUAAGCUUAUUGAGGAAAGAUCACUCGAGAAACACGAGAGUUAGUUGAAUACUGUGAGAUAUUUGUAGGACUACUGUCAAUUACUCUAAAAACUUAAGCUGUAUGAAUGUGUGAAUAUUCUAAUAUUCUCUCAGAUGCUUAGUUUGGUCUUUUAUCUAAUACUAAGCAUGCAAAUUUAAUUGAGGAGACAAAUGGAGUAUGGAAAGAUUUAAACUUGGGACCUUCAACUCUGAUAUCAUGUAAAAUUUAAUCGUAUGAGAUUUUAUGAUAUUGCUAUCAACUAUUUUAAAAUCUUAAGUACAUAUUUCUGGUCCUCUCAUCCCCUAGCUUUGUGUUUAUAGACAAGACUGACAGCCAGGAAUUAGUUGCCAGUCAUCACAUUGUGUACCUCCACAUUAAUGGACUAUUCCUCCAGAAAAUAUAGAGUAUACAUUGAUGGACAUGUGCAGGUGCCCGUAAAACUUAAGGAAGAAGAAUUAGGAAGAAGAAUCCUCAAGGGGUGGAACUCCUUAAUGUCACAUCCUAUAUUCCCACCUAGGAAGAAAAAGAUAUGAAGGGAAUUAGGAGACCUUUAGUGGGAAAGGUAAAUAUUAUGUCAAGAUUUUGGUUCUGACUAUCUUAGAAUAGACAUAUAUAGUAGUCUCGUGCACUUAGAAUAAGAAAGUGGAGUGUCCAACCUCCUGCUAGGUUGCCUAAGGAUACACAUGGCAAUGAGUCCCUGAACAUAAGCCUAAUGUAUAGCGUCGUUCAAUUUUUAAUUUAUUCAAUAUAGUCUAUAAACGUUAGUCCAAUAUGCAAUGUAGACUCUGUAUUUUUUAUUUGUUCAAUCUAAUCCCUAAACUUUCGGUAUAUGUUUAAUUUGGUCCUUAAAUUAUGAUAAAAUGUUCAAUGUUUCCCUGAUUUUGAAUUCAUGGAGAGAUUACAUUUAACAUUUUCAUAGAUUUAAAUGAUUACAUUGAACAAAUUGAACAAAUUAAAAAUUAAAGGACUAUAUUGCAUAUUGAGUGAAAAUUUAUGGACCAUUUUUGUCAUUAUUCCCAUCACAAAAAUAGAACAUUUAACAAGGAAAAAAAAUCUAUACAUAGAUAAUAGAGAUACAUAGCAAUAAAUAUGUCAUGAAAAUAAUUAAAUCUACAAAAUAUUUAAUACCUUCAUUAUACGAAAAACGAGGUGGCUGAGGAUUGCGGCCUCCAGUCCAUCCCCCAAUUUUUCCAUUCACAUAACUUCAAAGUCGUGCAAAACUAUUAUUGAUGAUUACUCAAUCCGGACUUGCCUUUUGAGUCGCACAUUGUUAAUUUUGUUAGCAAAAAUUUUAUCAUGCACAUAUCACAAUUUUUCAACAUUGUGCAAUCAAUUCCUGAAAGUUCUGAAAUUGCAGAGUUAUGUAAUAUGAUAUAAACCUUUAUUCUUUCACGACUCCUAGUUAUGAUUAUUUUUAGGACCGUGCGAUUUUCAUUCCAAAUUUUGUUUUUCACAAGUCCUUUUACAUCGUUUUUCUUCUGAUCAUAUUACAUCCGCUAUCCCUCCUUUCGUUCGAUUGCUUGCUUUUCUUUUCUUGCAAGUCUCAUGUUGUUCUUUCUUUGCUAUUAUUGUAAUGACAUAAAGUAGUUUUUAAAUUUUGACUCAAUAUAUAAUUUGAAUGUGAUUUCUGGACUUUAUCCUAGAGUUGAUUUUCCUUGCUUUGUUGUCUCCCCUUUCGGCUCAUGCUGACCAGCCAUUUGUACCCCAUUCCUCUUCUUCUUACUCUGUUUUCGAGCUUUCGUCCACCCUUUCCUUUCCUUGCUGACCAUCUGAGGGAAGACGAAGAGCUGGGCUCUCUCUUCUCUAAAGAAGAGUCGCAGGACGUGCAUUCGAACCUGCAAUAAUGUCUCUCCUCAUUGAUUUUUGCCCCGAAAAUGUCUGUCUUCCAGCUGUUCGAUAAAAUGCCUCUGAGAAAAGUGUCAUUGGGUUGGCUUGUUCGGUUGCUCUAUUUGCUUUCGUUAUAUUUGUCUUUCAGGACGGGGACAGUAACUUCGUCUUCGAGGGAAAACCAUACGGAGGAUGCCUUUGUCCGGCGGCGCGAGAACGACGGGGAAGAAGGUUCGGGCACGGGUUCUUCCGUCGGGUAACCGCCGAACGACGGCACGGCGGACUCCGGAAUCUCGCCGGCAAGCUUGUUGUGGGAUUCAGUCGAGAGUAGGUGACGAGAGCCUGACGUCAGCACGCGCGCCUUUUUGUAGACCCGUUGACUUUUCACCGCCGGCAGCUUCGUUGUCGCGUCGGUUCAGUGGAGGAAGUGAGCGAGCGAGCAAGCUCUCGGACCGUUUCUUCUCCGCGCUCUCUUCUCGCAUCGACCUCGAGAUAGGCGGCGGCGGCGAUGGCGAUGGCGUCGGCGGCGGUGAGGAGGAUCAAGCUGGGGUCGCAGGGCCUGGAGGUCUCGGCGCAGGGGAUGGGCUGCGCGCGCAUGUCCCCCUUCUCUGGCCCCCCCAAGCCCGACCCCGACAUGAUCGCGCUCAUCCGCCACGCCGUUGGCUCCGGCGUCACCUUCCUCGACACGGCCGACGUCUACGGCUUUAGUGCCAACGAAGUCCUCAUCGGAAAGGUUGGUUUUUUGAGAUAUUGAGUCGCGUCUCCAUUCUAAAGGUUUCGUCUUGUUAGAUCAACUAGCUGACAGUCGUCGCAGAUAAUUCUGUAAUCUGAUCGAUUUCGGUGCUCGUGUGUGUUAUAAAGCUUAGUCUCAGCUUCUGCAUGAUGUAGAUAUGCUACAGUCAUGCCGAAUUCUAAGAUCCUGCAUCUCGAUUUCCGAAUUUCGGGGUCUUGUUGUGGUGAUUUGGUGUGGAUUUUGAGCAGGCACUGAAGGGAGGGGUGAGAGAGAAGGUGGAAUUGGCGACCAAGUUCGGGCUCUGCUAUGCAGAUGGAAAGUGGGAUGUCCGGGGCGAUCAAGUGUACGUGAGGGCGGCCUGCGAGGACAGCUUGAAGCGUCUCGACGUCGAUUGCAUCAACCUCUACUACCAACACCGUAUCGACACUCGCGUCCCCAUCGAAGUCACUGUAUGGAUCCCUCAUUAAACCUUUCCCCCUUUUGAGACUUUCUCUGAGCCAUGUGAUGAGUUGUUAAACUAGAUUCGUGUUGAUGAUGCAUCCUCGCGUCGUUAAUAGUUUGGGGGAUCUUGUGACAGAUUUAACUAUUUCCUUGCCUUUGACUGGUAAGGUUUUGUUAAAUGAGAUUUUGAUAUUCGAGAUCGGGAUGCAGCACGGUGUUGUUAAAGAGGUUGUGGAGCCUAGUCUUUUCAGUGGCUGAGCUUUUUGCCUUAUGGGCAUCUUUUACAAGUUAAGGGUCAACAAGCAUGAAAAUUAUUCUGGAUAUUCCUUCAAAAUGAAAGGGCCAUGGGCGUUCAUCCUAAUUUAUGUAAGUGAAUAUCGCAUUGAAAGUUGUUUAUGGACUUCCUGUAAAGACCUUUGAUGGUUGACAGAUUAUUGUGAAAUGAGACUGAUAGUUGAAAUGCUAUUUUUGUUUGCCCUCUUCUGUGAUAGAUUAGAGAAAUCUUACUCCGUUAACUUAAUUCUUCUGUUAUUUGCCCUCUUUUGUGAUAGAUAUAUGUCCGUUAACUUAAUGUCCAGUGACUUUUUUGUUGCAUUGAGAUGCAUGGGGAUCUACUCAUCCUUGCUAAGAACUGCCUAGUCAAGACGUAAUGUUUGAAUAGUGAUGUGAUAAAUGUGCAUAAACUUCUGGGCCUUAAUAUGUACGGUCUUGACUGUUGUUGUUGUUGUUGUUGUUGUUGUUGUUGUUGUUGUUUUGUCAUGUGAAUAUUUGAAGAUCGGGGAGCUAAAGAAACUCGUUGAAGAGGGCAAAAUCAAGUACAUCGGCUUAUCCGAGGCCUCUGCAUCAACAAUCAGAAGAGCACAUGCUGUUCAUCCCAUCACAGUGGUGCAAUUGGAGUGGUCACUGUGGUCAAGAGAUGUGGAGGCAGAGAUCAUUCCCACAUGCAGGUAAAGGAAUCACCUCAUUAGUUUGUUUAUGCAGAGCAACAGCUUUUUUCUGAUGCUGCUCUCCUUAAAAUGGUGACCAGGGAGCUUGGCAUUGGAAUUGUUGCGUACAGUCCUUUAGGACGAGGAUUCUUUUCUGUCGGUUCCAAGUUAUUGGAGAAUUUCUCUGAGGAUGACUUUAGACAGGUUUGUUUCUGCUGAUCAAACAUAACUAGAUGCUCACAGUGACUGUCAUUCCUAUUGAAGUUCUGGGAACUACGAGUUCUUGUGGUAUACAGAAAAUGCAUCUGGGUGGGAUGUUUAACAAUUGGUGACACAGAUUCUUUAUAUUCCUAUAUUUCUUCUCCGGCACUAGCCCCACACCCACCUCUCUGAUUCCACAUUAGUGUAAAAUCAUAACUAAUGGCUUAAUGAGCCUGAAGAGGCAGUUUCACGACUCUCAUGCUUUUGGGAAUAAGCAGAUAUAGGUUCAUUUGUAUGCUCCUCUGUUUCUCAGCCUUCACCAUUUGCUAUUCACUAUCCUUUCCCCACUUUCUACCUGUCCUUUUUCUCUCAUCUUUCUUCCCACGAGGACAAUUCUCCUCCAUUUGGCCGACACUGGUGUUGAGUCUUAGGCCUCCGUUCUUCUUUUUCUCAGCUUUCUUUAUGGGAUAAAUUAUAUCUCGACACACCAGUUCUGGAGUGGGGACUACCUAACACCCUUCUCAUGGAAGUUUUGGGAUCAAAUUCCUAUCUGACAUAAAGCCAAUUGUGGAUUACUUCCCGCAAUUUGCAUUUGACUAGUCAUUGCGCUGGGAAAGUGAGUAGCUAUUGCUUUUUAGCUAAAAAGGGCUUUACUUCUGAUAAUGUUUCUCUACACAUCAUCUAGAUUUGUGAUUUGUUUCUUUUAAGUGCGAUAAAUGGAUACCAUCCAUGGAGAAAACUUAGAUCGAUUUUGUUUCUGUUGUCAUGUCUUACAGCAAAACCAUCAGCCUUGUGCAGUAGUUUCUAGAGCACUUUGCUCCACAUUUUGAAUGCUUAUGAUAUUGAACAACAUUUUCUAAUCCUUUCAAGAUGAUCUUUUACUAAUCAUGCUUCUCAUAUCAAGACAAUCUGAUGACCACUUCUAGUAUUGUUUGCCCUUGUUGCAGUAGAGUUUUGUGUUAUAAAGAACAUGAUAAUAGCUCAUAUUCUCUCCACUGAGACAGUGCUCCAUAUUAUGCAGAAACUACCGAGGUUCCAGCCAGAGAACUUGGCUCACAACGCGAAGUUAUUUGACCGAGUGAAUGAAAUUGCGCAAAGAAAGGGAUGCACCCCAUUGCAGUUAGCCCUUGCCUGGGUACACCACCAGGGCGAUGACGUCUGCCCAAUUCCCGGCACAACCAAGAUCGAGAAUUUCAAUCAGAACAUCAGAGCUCUAUCGGUGAAGCUUUCUUCAGAAGACAUGGCUGAGCUUGAAUCGAUUGCUUCCGCGGACAAUGUCAAGGGCAGCAGGUAUGAUAGCAGCAUCUCUACAUGGGAAAACUCCGAUACUCCACCCCUUUCUUCAUGGAGCGCUGCUUAGAAAGCACGUCUCCUUCUGUCUGUCUCCGCAUCUUUGAUGUGCAGAGUUUGAGCAUUUGCUGCUGAAGUAAUUUGAGGCUAUGCGGUGCGGCUGUAUAAGCAUGUGUACGAAGAGAGUACUUAUUAUCCUGUUAGUAAAGUAAAAUCUGAACUGCAAAGCGUAAACGUUAACAUUUUGUAUAAGCAACGUUCACUAUGAGAAGAUCAUAAUAAGCUUACUGGGAAAUGAUCACUCAAGAAAGAUGGACCGAUGGCUCUCCAUAAGGCUUUGUCUUCGGGUCGGGAUCGGAGUUAUAGAAAAGUAGAAUGUGAAGCAAUGCUGAUGGACCCCGACCACCUAGAUCGCCGGCACGUGUCACUCCAUGUUGCUUCUCUUGAAAGUUGUCGAAGCCUCCUAAGGCACAAUUGGGUGAGCCUCGAUUGAUCAUUAUACUAUGCGGGAAGGGGAAUGCGUGUGCGGACUUCGUUGCCAAUUGCUAUGCACAUGGAGUUUCAUCUCCUAUUUUUCAAUUUCUCUCUCUCUCUCUCUCUCUCUCUCUCUCUCUCUCUCUCUCUCUCUCUCUCUCUAAUAGUAAAGAAAGAAAGGCCGCCUCACACUCAAAUUCCGUUUAUUCUGCCAAAAAUAAAUAAUUUAGAAAAUAUUUUCUUAAAUAUGGUCACCAUAUUAUUUAUAAAAUGGUUAAUAUUAUGAAAAAUUCUAAACUGGAUAAAUUUAUGCCAAAUUAAUUUUUGAGUCCACAAAAAUCAUAAUUUAUGCAAAUGUGACAAAUUACCUUAAAUUAAUUUUUGGACCAUCAAAAAACCUAAAUUAAUAUAUUUGUGAUAACUUUUUCCUAAAUUGAUAUGGAUUUCCGUUUGAACUUGUUAUAUCAAUUGAAUUAUUGUCAAUAUUCAUCAAACUCAGUAAUUUCAUAGUAAAAUUUAACAGAAAUUACUAGAUGAUAAAUAUGUUAUGGAUAUACUAGUUUAGGGUUUUUAAUGACCCAAAAAUUAGUUUAUGAUAAGUUUAUCACAUGUGUAUCAGUUUGGGGUUUUUUGUGAUAAAAAACCUAAUUUUGAGUAAAUUUGUCACAAGGGUAUUAGUUUGGAGAUUUUCGUGAUAUUAUCCCUAAGUCACUAGGAAAAUAUUUUCAUUGUCCAUAAAAAUAUUUGGAUAUAAAUUGUUGUUGAUAAUGUAAAAAAGUUUUCUUUCACUAAUUAUUUCAAAUGAUACAAUUGAUUUAUUUUCAAAAAAAUGUUUUCAAAAUCGUUCAAUUUCUAUGAAAAAAACAUAACGUUUGAAAAAACAAAAUUCUUCCCGACAAAAAGUGUGGAUCUGUGCAUUUGGUCCUUUUUUUUUUUCUUUUUAGCUUGGACUUUUAUCACUCCGCCGGGAAAAUUCCCAAAAUCUUGGAUUCAUUCAACCAACAUUUCUUGAAAUUUCAAACGUUAGUUUCUAGUUCGUGCAUACCAAUUGGGCCUUGUCUAGUCAAAAGCAUCAAGCGUAUAGUCCUCAUCAAAUGGGGAAAAUGAGUUUUGCCAUGAAAUGUGAAAAUCAAAGAAAGAGUACAUGUAACAAAAAUUAAGGAAAAUUAUUUGGUCCAUUAGAAAAAUUACCCAAAAAAUCCUCAGUAUAAUGCACUUUUAUUAAUUCAAUUCUAAAUCUUUCAAUUUUAUCAAUUGAAUUUUAAACAUUUUCAUUUUUUGCCAAGUGAAUCCAUCAUGUCAAUUUUGGUCAGAAAUUGCUAAGGUAGACACCAAUCAUUCAACAUGAAUAGUUUUUAAUAAUAUUUUAACUUUUUGUCGAAUUAUUUUUUUCUUUCUUUUUUUCCAAACCCUAGGUUGGCAAGGGCCAGUGACCCUUGUUUGGCAUGGGUGAAGGCAUUGCUGCUCUCGCUUGCAAGGGCAUUGAGGGGAGGGCGUUACAACCCUUGCUAGCCAAUUGGCGAGGGUUGUAGCCCUCGCUUGGUUCCAGAUGAGGGCCUCACACCCUCGCUAGUCCAAGGUUAGACGUAAAAGAAAAAGAAAAAGAAUAAAACAUUAUUCAAAAUUGUCCUUAUUAGCAUUGGUUGUACCACAUAGGAUGAUAAAUGUCUAUGUUAGCGAUUUCCAACCAAAAUUAAUUGAAUGGACUUAAUUAAAAAAAUGUGAAAAUAUUUAGAAUUUAAUUAGCAAACUUGAAAUGUUUAUAAUAGAAUUGACAAAAGUACAAUAAAUUUAGGACUUUUUGAAUAAUUUUCCCAUGUGAUAAUAACCUUUGCAGAGUCGGCGCAAUCAGUUGAAUAGUUUGGGGAUUUCCAGGUUAGAAGCUUGAGGUUAUCGGUUGAAUUCUCACAACUCACAUGUUAGGGGUGAGUGGUUGCACGUUUCGUUGAGAUUCUAUAUGAAGCUUGAAACUUACUUGUUGGAACACAUUUCCUAAUUUUUGGAACCUUGAAUUUACCUUACAUACUUAGGAACCUAGAAUCUACCUUGUCAUAGGUAUUAGGUUCUACCUAUACUCUGUACUCUUAAUGACUAGCAUUUACUACAAUCCACUAAUAACAAUUCAUAUAUAAUACACGAAAAUUAUGAAAUAUAAACAAAUAAAAUUUUUAAUUAUAGAUAUUAUUGAAAAUGGAAGCUCGAAUUAGCAGUUUUAGAUUGCAUACUUAUUAUUAGAGGCUAUGAAAUGUCACAAGAUCACAUGAAGACAUUAAAUAAGAAAAACAUAAAGAAUUAUUUCAGAUUCCAAGUUUCAGAUUUCUCACAUGUUGAAACAAAUUCUUCAAUUUUUAGAAGUUAAAACCUACUAUGUAUGUUCUAAAAUUGGAACAAGACUGGUUCUCAUUAAUUCGAUUCUCAGUACCUACCACGCAUAAUCUAUUAUGAGCAACAAACAUAGACUACAUUCAUGAGAUUACGACAUUUUUCCGGAGCCGUCGACGUCGGUGGCUCCGGAUUAUAAUAAAAUAAAAAUCGGAUAUAACGGGCAAGUUCACUAAAAUUGAAAGUGGACACAUAACAUAAUCGUCUUUGUAACUUUCUAAGUAGUGCCGUACUGUUGGGUGAUUUCGCCAAAAAGCCGCGUACCUGUCAUUUCCGACCAAUGAAUGAGGAAUCGAGGGCAGCUCCACCGAUCUUGCAGGUAAGUGCUGUUUUCAGAGCGCUCGUGGACAAGACAGCAUGGAAUCUCCCGCCUCCCUACUAUAAAGCUCGGCUCGCCCCAUCACUUUCAUUAUCGUCUUAGUGCCGAAAUUUUCUUCAUUUUCUCUAUUAUUUUCUAUCAUGUUAUCAAUGUCGUUCUUCCUCGCCUAGCUUCCAUAUUUUAGAGUUGCCUUUCGUUUUAUCUUGGUUUUUUUUUUUUUUUGGUUAUUACAAGUCCUCAUCCUGCAAUACAAAUCAGCAAAUCGAUUAGGAAUUCAAUUUUAAUUUUUUUCGAUACCAAGGCAAAAAUUAAGAACACUGAAAGCUCCAUGAUAGAGGAGACACCUACCUCACCUCAAAAUCAAGCCCCAUCGCCGUCGGAUUCGAUUAUAAUUUGGGACAAGAUAUUUUAAUCAUUUCGAGAUAAUCUUUAACUGAUCAUGCUCUUCUAGAUACACAGCGAUUGCGCACUUCCAAAUGCUUAUUAUGUCAAGUAACAUGACAAUCUAAUGGCAUGCAGUUCAACCAAUUUUGCACUCGUUGAUGUAGAAUUUGGCGUUAAAAGGAAAAUGAUAGUUGCUCGUAUGCUCUCUGCUUAGACAUUGCUUUAUGUUAUGAACUACCUACCAAGGUUGCGGCCAGAGAACUAAGCUCACAAUGCGAAGUAAUUCGACCAAGUGAAUGAAAUUGCACAAAGAAAGGGAUGCACCCCAUUGCAGUUAACCCUCGCCUGGUACACCACUGGAGUGAUGACGUUUGCCCGAUUACCGGCACGAUCAAGAUCGAGAAUUUCAACCAGAACAUUGGAGCUCUGUCAGUGAAGCUUUCGCCAGAAGAGAUGGGCCAAGCUCAGAUCGAUUGCUUAUAUGGAUAAUGUCNNNNNNNNNNNNNNNNNNNNNNNNNNNNNNNNNNNNNNNNNNNNNNNNNNNNNNNNNNNNNNNNNNNNNNNNNNNNNNNNNNNNNNNNNNNNNNNNNNNNCCUCGCGCUUAUGGAAGAGUAAUCACGAAGACAUCACAAUAGUUCAAUUGACGUUAGCAGGUACGUCUUCCCUACAUGGUAAGGGUCGUCACUGGGCGUGCAAUUGACGUAAGCACGUGCGUCUUCACAGCCACUACCGCUCCCCUCCUACUCAUCGUAGCUUCUGCCACUCCCCUCCUAUAAAUCUCGGCUCGCCCGACGCCUUCGCCAUCGUCUCGGUGCAGUGCAGGGAACGAUCGAGCUCGAGCUAGACUACGGCAAUGGCGGCAUCGACGACGACGACGGUGAGGAGGAUCAAGCUGGGGUCGCAGGGCCUGGAGGUGUCGGCGCAGGGGCUGGGCUGCAUGAGCAUGUCCGCCUUCUACGGCCCUCCCAAGUCCGAGCCCGACAUGAUCGCCCUCAUCCACCACGCAGUCGGCUCCGGCGUCACCUUCCUCGACACCUCCGACGUCUACGGUCCUCACACCAACGAAAUCCUCCUCGGAAAGGUCGUUCUCUCAGUCUCUCUUUUGCCUCUGCAUGAAUUAUAUAUGCUUAUGGUUUUACGGAACUUAGCUUCAUCGAGCAGGAUGCUCUGAUCCUGCGCCUUGGUUUUCUGAUUUCGGGGUUGAUUUUGAGCAGGCACUGAAGGGAGGGGUGAGGCAGAAGGUGGAAUUGGCGACCAAGUUCGGAGUCAGAUACGCGGACGGGAAGAGGGAGAUCCAGGGCGAUCCGGCGUACGUGAGGGCUGCUUGCGAGGCCAGCUUGAAACAUCUCGACAUCGAUUGCAUCGACCUCUACUACCAGCACCGUAUCGACACUCGCGUCCCCAUUGAAGUCACUGUAUGGAUCCCUUAUCAAACUUUCACCUCGCUUGAGACUUUCUCUGAGCCAUAUGAUGCAUCGUCAUGUUGUUACAAGUUUGUUGAAUUUUGUUAAAUGACACUUAAGUUCAGCUGAUAGCAGAGUUCAAGAUGCGGCACGGUGUUGUUCAAGGGUUGUGGAAUUUAGUAGUUUAGUGGCUUGAGUUUUCGUUUUGUGGGAAUCUUUUACAAGUUAAGGGUCAACAAGCAUGGAAAUUAUUCGAAAUCUUCCUUUGAGAUGAAAGUGCUCCGGGGUUCAUCCUGAAUUUAUAUACGGGAAUCACAUAUAAAGUUGUUCCUGGACUUUAUACGGAGACAUUUGAUUCUUGACAUAUUGUGAAAUAUGACAAGUACUUGGAAUACUUCUUUUAUUUGCUCUCUUCUGUGAGAGAUUCAAGAAAUCUACCUCCGUUAACUCAAUACCUUGUGGGUUUUUUGUCGCAUUGAGAUGCAUGAUAAUUGAGGGAUCUAGACAAAUAAAAAGCUAAUGACAAAAAUAAUUUUCUGGAUCUUAACAUGUAAGAUCUUGAUGUUGUUGUUCUGUCAUGUGAAUAUGCACAGAUCGGAGAGCUAAAGAAGCUCGUUGAAGAGGGUAAGAUAAAGUACAUCGGUUUAUCCGAGGCCUCUGCAUCAACAAUCAGAAGAGCACAUGCUGUUCAUCCCAUCACAGCAGUGCAAUUGGAGUGGUCGCUUUGGUCAAGAGAUGUGGAGGCGGACAUCGUUCCAACGUGCAGGUAGGAUAUCACUCUGUUAAUUGUUUAUGCAGCAACAACAGCUUCCUUCUGACUCUGCUUUUCCUUUAAAAUGUUGACUAGGGAGCUUGGCAUUGGAAUUGUUGCCUACAGUCCUUUAGGACGAGGAUUCUUUUCUGUUGGCUCCAAGUUGGUGGAGAAUAUCUCUAAGGAUGACGUCAGACAGGUCUGUUCCUGCUUGUCAACAUAAUUAGAUGCUUACAGUGGCUGUCAUUCUUAUUGAAGUGCUGGAAACCUGUUCUUGUGGUAUAAAGAAAAAGUAUCUGGAUGGGAUGAAUAAAACUUGGUGACACGAAUGCUUCGUGUUUUUAUAUGUCUUUAAUCCAGCACUUGCCAGACAUCCCACCUCUCUCGAUUCUAGAUAAAUGUAAAAUCACAAGUAAUGGCUUUAGUGAGCCUGAAAGAGGCAGUUUCCUGGAUUCUCGUCCUUUUGGGAAUGAAUGCAUAUAGGUUUAUAUGUAAGUUGCUCUGUUUCCCAGCCUUCCCAACAUUUGCUUAUCACUAUCCUUUCCCCACUUUCCACCCACCCUUUUUCUCUCAUCUUUCUUCACAAGAUUAGCGAUAUUUCCUCGAAAUAACUGACGCCAGUAUCGGGCUCUGGCCCUCCGUCCUUUUUCUUUCUCAUCUUUCUUCACAAGAUAAACUAUAUCUUGACACAACCAUUUCUUGAGCGAGGACUCCCGACACCCUUCUUAUGAGAGUUUUGGAUGAAGUUCCCAUCUGACAUAAAGCCAAUUGUGUAUUACUCCCCGCCAUUAGCGUUUGACUAGCGAUAGUGCUGGGCAAGUGAAGUAGCUAUUUUUCUUUGUAGCUAAAACAGCUCUGCGUCUGAUAACAUUCUUCUACACAUCAUCUACAUUUCUGAUUUUUUGUUUUAUGUGUGACUAAUGGUAUCAUCACAAGUACAAAACUUAGAUUGUCGAGUUUGUUUCUGUUUUCACAUCCUACAUCAAACCCAUCAGCCUUGUGUGGUAGUUGCUAGAUCACUUCGCUUGACGUUUCUAAUGCUUAUGAUUUGGGACAAGAUAUUUUAAUCAUUUCAAGAUAAUUUAUAACUGAUCAUGCUUUUCCAGAUACACAACGAUUGCACACUUCUAAAUGCUUAUUAUGUCAAGUAACAAGACAAUCCGAUGGCAUGCAAUGCAACCACUUUUGCACUUGUUGCUAUAGAAUUUAGCCCUAAAAGGAAAAUGAUAAUUGCUCAUAUGCUCUCGGCUGAGACAUUACUCUAUGUUAUGCAGAAGCAACCAAGGUUCCAGCCAGAGAACUUGGCUCACAACACGAAGUUAUUCGACCGAGUGAAUGAAGUUGCGCGAAGAAAGGGAUGCACCCCAUCUCAGUUAGCCCUCGCCUGGGUACACCACCAGGGUGACGACAUUUGCCCGAUUCCCGGCACAACCAAGAUCGCGAAUUUCAACCAGAACAUUGGAGCUCUGUCAGUGAAGCUUACACCGGAAGAGAUGGCCGAGCUUGAAUUGAUUGCUUCUGCGGACAAUGUCAAGGGUGGCAGGUACGAUAGCAGCGUUCCUACAUGGGAAAACUCCGACACUCCACCUCUUUCUUCAUGGAAACCUGCCUAGAAGCAUGUCUGCUUCUGGUGCUGCAUCUUUGAUGUGCAGAGUUUGAGCAUUUGCUGCUGAAGUAAUUUGAGUUUAUGUUGUGUGGCUGUUAUAAGUACGUGUAAUAAGAGAGUGACUGUUUUCAUUUUGUACAUGUGACAUUCACUAUGAGAAGAUUAUGGAUGUGUACUAACCUUACUGGGGAAAGAUCACUCGACAAACACGAGAGCGAGUUGAAUACAAACUGAGCCUGCCGUGUCGACUUUAUUGGGGUGACUUUUAGAAUCUGAGAAAUCGGGAUUUUGAAGAAUUCAAACUCAGUCGUACAUACUAGAGUGACGCUUUAUUCUCCUCCAACCAUGAGUUUAAUACUAACACCGUGUGCAACAUGCUCUUAAGACUGGAUGCUACACAUAGAUACAAAGCUUCGCUUUGUGUUUGGUUUGGUAGCGAAGUUAAGGAAAAGUAAAAUGUUACCUGAUGUUCUCGCGAAAACGAAGUUGGGGUUAAAAUGCUGGCGCGGUUGAUAUGAGCGUCAGGGAAAUCGAAGGUUUCUUGUUCAAGUUUCACCACCUACGGCUCAUGAGCUUUUAUGUAGCUCGAUACCUUCGCUCAUGCCUCUGCAUUAUUAUAAAACAGUCGGAGAUAUUGCGCAAGUUUCCUAAAAUUAAAAACGACAAUUCUAUUGUUUUUUAUUUGGAGUUAGAGUGGAGCAAUGUUGUUUUGUUUUGGUUUAGGAAAAUAACGCAAAUAGUCACUGCACUUUGGUUUAACGUAUUAUGUUCUUACUGAACUUUUAAUUUAUUUAGUAUGGUUGUCGAACUUUUUAUACAUGUUUAAUUUAGAUCCGAGGCUAGAUAAAUCCAAUGAUGCUGUGUUUGGUCGUUCGAACAUCUUUGCUAUAUGGGAUAAUGAUAGGAUAAAAAUCCCAUCUAAUAUUUCUCCACGUCUGGACAUAACAUGAUUCAAAUAAAACAAAUUUAAAUGAGUGUUUGAUUUGUAUAAUUAAAAUUAAAAAUAAACCAUGGAAGUCGUAAAUACUAUUCAUCCUUUCCCAAUCUUCAUCCAUAUCAAGCACCCCCGUUCCAUGUGACUUCAAGGACGCUCGCUCCUUCUGCAACACCCCUUUCGCUGCCCUUGAUCAACUCGAUGGAUUACGCUCGCUCUACCUUUGACUUCGCCACAUUGAGAGGCCCUUGGGUUUGAGUUCUCCGCUGGUCUAGCCAUCUUUACUUUCAACGCCUUUUUCCUGCGAUAAAUCCAUCCCCUUCGACGAGUGUGAAUACCGCGUUGAUUCCCUGUUACCGUGCUCCGACUUGUUCAGUCGCUUCAACAGCUUCCCCCGAGACAGCGCGCGGAUCCGGUUUAUGAGUGGACAUGGUUGAGGAGCUCUAUCACCUUGGCUGCCGCCUCUUUCGGAUCAUCUUCUUCACAGCGGAGGUGUCCAGCUUUGAUCGGGAUCACAAAGUUCCCUCCUAAAAUGGAGUUAAGUGACAUAAGAAAAGAGGCAGGGCUGACGAGCUCCGCGAUACUCAUGCUCUAAUUUUGUGGUGGUCAUUUUAGUGAGACAAAUUAAGAGAGAUGAUGGUGGCACUGGUCAAAAGUGAGGACAAGCCAUCGACAAGCGCAGGAGUGGGGGAAAAAGUUGUACCCCUUAUCUUUUCAGUUUUCUAAAUUUCACAUAUCAUAUUUGAAUUUAUAUCACUUUCUAGAAGGGAUUUUUAUCCGGACUAUAUCUGAAUUUCACGUUACUCUAAACAAUGGAUAGGAUCAAACUUGCCAUAUCAGAGUUUAUCCAACCCAUUAAAGACAGUCUUAUGAGAUAGAAUGCAAUGAUAUAAUUUGUGAACUAGAUUAAACAUUUAUUAAAAAUUUAAGAACAAUAGUUUACAUUUUGAUUAUUAGGAUGCAUGAAUAAGUUAUGUUAAAACAAUCGCACAAUAUAUUGAUAGCUUUGAAAUAUGGCUUUCUCUUGGCGAUGAUGUCGAUUAAUAUGGAGAAAUUAAUGGGAGGGUUUAUUUGGCCUAAUUAAAUGGGAGGCUAUAUCAAUGGGAGGUUUUUCAUUGUAACAUUCCCUUGUGCUUGGUAUUUGUAUUUUAGUAAAGGAUUUUGUUAGCAUAAUAGUCUUUGGAUUAUUAUGAGAAUAACAGUUUGUUAUAAGUCAUAAACUUUUAAAGUCGUGAACCCCAUGAUAAUUUCAAUUAUUUGUUAUUUGAUUUUUUGUAGUCUAGAAUAAAAAUUAUCAUCAAAUUAUUUAUUUUUAACAAAUAUAUUGCUCUAACUGUUGUUUCAAUUAAGUUUGCAUCGGAGAAUAGAUUAUUUUGUUUUGGUGCGCUAGUCGAGGGCAGAAGAACACCACAAGUGCCAUAACUUGGCACGCCGGGACACUUAAGUGCCAUAACUUCCAAACGGUACACUUAAGUGCCACUUUUUUUUUCAAGUGGGACACUUAAGUGCCACCUCCGGCGACCCUUGCCGGAAAUCAUACGUGGCACUAUUUUAUUACUAUUUUUGCCAACGUGGCUCGCCGGAGAGCUGAGUCGGCGCUCAGUCACCAGAAACGACGUCGUCUCCAUAAUAAAAGCCCCAAAUCUUCCAAAAACGACGUUGUCUCCCCAAAUGCCCCAAAUCUAAAACCCUAAAUCGGCCAAAAUCCCUAUUGAAGUGCUCGAAUUGAAGUCUCGAACCCUAAUUUUCAUUUGCCCAAAAUUCCUUCGUCGAAUCUUGGAAAUGGAGAGCAGGACUCGCAGCAGCGCCUCAAUUUCCUCUCAUCGAAGCGAAGGAGAAGGCCAGCGUUUCUGUUUUUGUGGGUUACCGAGUCCAAGAAGAACAUCGUGGACUCAAAUCAAUCCUGGGAGAAGAUUUUAUGGAUGCGCCCGAUAUAAAGAAGCGUCGAAGUGCAAAUACUUCAAAUGGAUUGAUGAGAAGUUCUCUGACCGAGCCACAGAGGUGAUAUUGGAUCUACUUCAUAAAAGACAGCAAUCUUCAUCUGUGUUCGUGGACGACUUGGACGAUGUUGACUCAAUGCAAGCUCAAGUGUCUUCAGUGAAACUUUCGAAGAAUGAAGUGUCAAUGCACGCUCAAGCAUCUUCAACUAAACCUUUCAAGAAUGAAGUCCCAAUGAUGAAGAUUGAACGAAAGUGUUACCAAGCGUGUAUUAUGGUGUUGUUUUGUUGUCUAUUGUACUUUAUGAUGAAAUGUAAAGUACUUGAGAAUGAGAAAAAGUUUCUGCGACUGCCAUAGUUAAAAAUGGUGUUGUUCUGGAUUAAACGUUGGGUUUUUUCUUUUUGAAAGAUGCGAAGAAGUUUGUGUUGUGGAACAAGAUCAUUGUUGCUUUGUUGUCGUUUGUGCUGUGGUAUGGACUUGCCAUAAGUUUACCAUCAUCUUCUCUGUUUUGAUGCAGAAUCAUCUUCUCUGUUUUGCAAUGCAGAAUCAUGUUCUCUGUUUUGAUGCAGACCGACAUAUACACAAGACAAACAUGAGUCAUUACCCGAGUGCCAUAAGUUGUAUUCAGUAAUCACGUAAGUGCUAGUCGCGAUGAAAAAAGGAUCACUUUAGUGUAAAGUUAUUGUUAAAGUGAUCGGUUAAGUGUCACUUGUAGUUAAAAGUGAACAGUUAAGUGCCAAGUUUUUUUAGAAUAGGAUCAGUUAAGUGCCAAUUUUUUUGUCGGUUUUCUGUAAAAAUUGCGCCAGCCACCAGCACCGGCGACACCACCAACCAUCACCACUAUCCACACUACACACUAGGCGCUCCAGCCACCACCAUGCUGGUGGUGUUGCUGCACAAGAUACUAGUGCAAGGCUCAGCUUGCACUAGUUUGCACCAGUACACAUGGUGUAAGAUGUGCAAACUGCACACUUGUACCAGGUGUAGGUGCAGCUGCUUAAGCCUAUAACCCCCACCACAAACCAAUAAUCACCAGGCAUCACCAUCAGCCACACCAGCACCCCAGCCACGACAUUAGCACCCCACCAACAAACUGACUACCACCUACCACCAAACAUCACCAUCCACCAUCACUAGAUACACCAGCACUCCAGCUAUCACCACAGAACACCAACAGCAGCAGCAACAAGUAAAAGCCAGAAUCCAUGAUAAACAACAACAUAAAUUGACAAGCAGCGCAAGAUCAUUUCAUUGAUAUUAAUAUCAUCAAGUCUGAGUCUGACAACAUUCAUUUCAUUGAUAUUUCAUCAAGUGUGAGUCUGAGUCUGACAACAUCAAUGAAUGACAAACUAAAGAAAAAAAACAAAAGAUAACCAUCGAUGCAUAGACUUUCUAUAUGCACGACAACAUCAUCGUUUACAUAACUGUUUUUACUCCUAAGCUCCACAAAUCCUAUCACAUCUCAUCUCAUCAAUCAAUAUGCACGACACCCCCUGUUCGUCCUCCUUUCGAUGGGCCUUUCACUUGAUUCAUAAUUCUGGCACUCUUUCUAACUGGACGUGCAACUUCUUCUUCAACCUUCUCAGUAUCCACUGACUCAGAUGGAGCUGCAAAUGUCAUAGGCCGAAUUGAAUCAAAAGGAGCUGGAGCUGGAGCUGGAGAUGGAGCUGGAGCUGGAGCUCGAGCUCGAGCUGGGUUCUUUCUCUUAUUUUUUUUUGGCACAGUUGAUGUUGAUGUUUUCUUCUUUUUUGUUGGUGCAGCCGUCGAUUCUUGAGUUGGGCCUGAGAUAAGAACUUCUGAACUUCUCCCAGGCUACAAAAAAACAAUAAAUUGUUAGCAAAAAUCUACAGCAUAAAUUAAAUUAAAUGCAGCCAAUAAAACUUACAUUGAGAAUGACUGUUCCAGUAGGCUCAUCUGUAUACAGGCCAUAGCCAUAUUGUCUGAACCUCUUCCCAAGUGCCCCUCUUGUUUGAAUAGGGGCGUCACUUUCAGGAACUUGUGAUUUGUUGCCCCUUUGUCCUGCUUUCUUGGGCCCUUUAACUACAGCCGAGGCUUGUUCGACCCAUUGUGUUGGGCGUCUUCUAGAUGGCCUUUGUGUACCUGCCCCUUCACCUGGCCUUGUUCUAGUUGUCCUUCUGUGUAGCCCUUCAACUUCAGUGACACCUCCUUCUGUUUGGCCUUCUGGUGGUACUGGUGGUGGUACUUGUGGUGCCCCUUGCAGCUCCUGUGAUGAUCCUUGAGAGCAUGAUCCUUGAGGUGGCUCCUGUGAUGAUCCUUGAGGUGGCUCCUGUGAUGGCCCUUCAGUUGGCAGUUGAGUUCGAACUUGCUUUCUUCGAACCUGAGAAAGAGGCGAAAAUCGAACCUGAGAAAGAGGCGAAAAGAUACCAUAAAUAUAAUAUCGAGACAUAUAAUAAUAAAAACUGAAUACAAAUUGAUUGAAUUUAGCACUGGGUAUUUCUUUCGCUGCUGAAGAACAGUCGACUGCACUGGCCGUGAUGCUGCUUGGGUCAAUCCUUCAGCUGGCCGUGAUGCUGCCACUUGGGCCAAUCCUUUACCUGGCUGUGUUCUACCUUGCCUUCUUCGAACAGGCUGUUCAGUUUCAUGACUUACUGAGGUUCUUCUUGUGACCUAACAAACACAUUACAUACAAGGCCAAAUAGGAUAUCAUUAUGUACAUUUUUAUGAUAAACGACAAGAAAGCAACAUAAACAUAAAAUAAAUUUCAUGACUUACCGGGGUUCUACUUGUUGACUGAAGAACAGUCGACUCACUUGGCCCUGCUGUGUGCAUUUCUCCAACUGUCUCUUCACUAGGCCCUUCACCUUGCCUCAACCGUUGUUGCUUCCUCAAUUGACAACCUUUAAUAUUGUGGCCUGUUAGGCGACAAUAAGAGCACGUGAUCUUUGCACCCUCCCUGCUCAUUCUUUGCUGACCCGAGACCUCUCCCUCCGCCAUUCUUCGUCUUCGUUUUGUCCUUCCAAUUGUCUUCUUCAGUGGCAAAGGUAGAGGUGCUUCACGAUCCGUGGGCUCCCAAAACUUGCUACUUCUAAUUGGCUGCAUCAUGAACUGAUAGGAAGCAAGAUACUUUGAUUUAUGGUACCAAUCAUCGAUGUAAUCAUCUAUAUUGUCGCCCUUCAACUGGAUGGCACAUAUGGCAUGUGCACAUGGAAUUCCACUUACUUGCCAUGAUCUACAUGAACACUUCCUACUUCCUAGAUUGACAACAUACUUAUCUGCACCCUUCAUUAUCUCAUAUCCGUCAUCUCCAUUCCAAAUGGGAUGACAAUGCGUACUUGCAGCCAAGUUGUCAUCCAAUUUCUUCACAAUCCUAGGACCAUAUUGUCUUGUCCACUUUGCAGCCUCAUCUCUUUGUUUCUGCAGCCGAGUCAUAACCGCAACUCGUAUAUCUUCAAGCAUUGAGAUGACUGGUUUGCAUCUGGCAUCUAUUAUCUUCGAAUUAAAUACUUCACAAAUGUUGUUGUCGACGUUAUCGCACUUGAACUCCUCACUGAAGAAUGCCCUGCACCAAUGCUUCGGUUCUAGUUGAAAUAGGGUAGCACAACCUUCCUUUGUCAACUGAAGCAGUCCUUCUUUGGCUAUUCUAAAGUCAGCCAUGUUUGCACUCUUUGCUAAUUGCCAAAAUUGCAAUUGCAGCUUAUCCCCUUUAUAGUUCUUUGCCCAAUUUCCGUAUAUGUGCCGCGCACACAUUCGAUGUUCAGCAUGGGGCAACAACUCGGCUACUGCCGGAACCAAUCCCUGCAAUAAUUCAAAGUAAGAAAUAUUAUAGCAAAUUACAUGUUCAUAUUACAAAGCAAAGCAAAGCAAACUAUUGACUAAACUUUUCAAAAAGCAAGCAUUACCUUCUGUUGGUCACUCGUGAAUGCCCACCCUUCCCCGUUUGUUAUCUCCAAGUCAGCCAUCAGAUUUUUCAAGAACCAAGACCAAUUGUCCUUGUUCUCAAUCUUUACAAUAGCCCAAGCUAGUGGGAACAUUUGGUUAUUCGCAUCUCUUCCAAUCGCUGCCAACAAUUCUCCCUUGCACAAGCCCUUCAAGAAACAGCCGUCCAAUCCUAUAAUCCGUCUACAACCAGCUAAAAAACCUCGUCUGCAUGCAUCAAAGCACACAUAGAACUUAUCGAACUUGGUCCCAUGAUCAGGAAGUGGUCUCUCAAUCACCUCUACAUACACUCUACUUGUAGGGUUUUGCAGCCUACACUCCCAAGCAUACUCCCACACCUGCCCAUAUUCCUUAGCAUACUGACCAAUAAGUACCUUUAUCACCUUUUGCUUUGCUCUUUUGCACUGAUUCCUAGAUACAUUGAUGCCUACACGCUCCUUCACCAGCAUCCUAAAGUUAGCAAGUUUCAAGUUGGGCAUCACCUUGAUCAGAUCGAAGAAGUGCUUCGACAACCAUGAACUUGUUACCCUUUUGUUUUGAAAAUUAAUGGAACAAGUGUGUUCCUCUUGGUAGGCUCUAAUCUGAAAAGACCCACUCUUCUUAACAAACGCACCGUAAAUCUUCCAUGGACAGUUUUGCUGCGAACACCUAGCUCUUACAAAUUUCUUGGUAUUUCUAAUGAAAUCAAUAUUUCUUUGUGCAGCAAUGGAAGAACUCAGUAUAGCUUCCCUAAAUUGUAUCGCAUCAUGGAAUUUCAUACCUACUGACAAAGUAGGAGAUGCAACAGAUGGAUCAUAGGAAGGAAACUUACUUUUCCUUCUACGCACAGCUCGUUGAUCUUCUUCAACUUCGUCCUGGGAAGUUGCGGUGUCGAUGCUUUCUUCAUAAUCUGUCUCCAGGACCUGGCCAGCAACACCAACAUCUGCAGGGCCUUCGUCUCUGUUUGGAUGAACAGCUACAUGCAAAGUUGCAAAUCUAUCUAACAAAAAGUCCCUUUGUUUUUUCCUUGACUGUGUAAGCUCCUCAUCGUCGACGUCACUUAAGAUUAACAAAUUUUCAGCUUCAGCAGCCAACCCUUCAUCGUCAUCGUCACCCUCACUGGAUUCAGCUACUUCCCAAUCUAAUUCAGUGAUGGUGACAUCACCCAUGUCACAAUCGCUCUGGUGAACAGCAUCUGCGCCCCUCUCCUCCCCAUCCUGUCCAUCAUGACCUACUUCAUCUCCUCCUUCUCCUACUUCGGUGGUAUCUGUGUCAUCAUGUUCGUCCUCACUAUUGUUUUCAACAAACACUUUCGCCUCUUCGCCAUGAAGAAAAUGAUAUAAGACAUCCCUAAAACCAUUAUCAUCUUCCAAAACUCUCAAACCAUCUCUCAAGCCUUUCCCAGGAACACAGUACAGUAACUUUUGUACUCUACAAGGCAAAAAUGUCACUAUAUCCCUAACAAAUCCAAUAUAAGAUGCCUUCUUUAUAUCUACAAAGAUAGUACCCUCAUUCCCCCCCUCAUACUCCCACUCAUCCUCCCCAAUCACAAAAUCUCCACCGUAGUAAACGAUGACAGCAACAUAGUCUUUAUGCGCCAUUUCUGCAACAAAAGAGGACAAAUAUACAAUUAACUAUUUUGGGACCACAUUCACAAAGAACAGACAAUUGCAAGUGGAGGUCCCCACACUCUUUAUUAAAGAAAAGAAAAGAAAAGAAGAAGAGAGAGGGAAGAUGCGGUCGUCGACAGCUGCAGCUUGAAAACAACAGGCCUCAGGACAAGGACAAAUAAAAAUUAAGAUGGGACCCGACAACUGCUUUGAUUAUGCCGUCGCAUUUCUUUAAAAUAUGGAGAGAUUCCUCAGCAUGGGUCCUCAACAAUGCAAUUUAUUAAACAAAUAUCCAGAAGUCCCCAUCCCCACAACCUUCGAUUCUCACAUGUGCAAAGUCCAAUACUCUGAACCCUAACAAUCACCAAUCAUCGCACAUUUCACAUCCGACCACUACAAAUUACUUUCGCACAUCACAAUUCAACACCCUGAAUGAAUCACACAUCACAGUGGAUGAGGCGACGUCGAGCCCUACACUGAGCCCUAAUUUCCCCCCCCUCGAGCCCUACACCGAGCCUAUAUUUCAAUGCCGCUCCUAAACUGUCAAUUUGAACCCCCCAAUAGGAUUGUAGCACUACAUCUCAGCCAUUAAAUCUCACAUCAAGCCUGACCUUUCCCAGCCGACCCCCAAAUUUGAAGUCCGAGCCCUAAUAAACGAGUCGGAGCCCUAAUUUCACCACAGGGGAGAGGAAGAAGAGAAAAAACCUGAGCAAAUCGACGACGGCGAGCGAUGACGGCGCUCGACGACGGCGACCGACGACGGCGACCGACGACGGCGACCGACAAAGGCGAGCGACGACGGCGAGCGAUCACCUGCGAACGGCGAGCUGUGAACGGCGAUGGAUGGAUGGAGAGGACGUCAGACCUACUGUGAACCGACAAAAUGUUAAAUUCCAAAUAAACGAACGACGUCGUUUUGUUUGGCCAAGUGCACAGUGGAUGGGGCGACGUCGUUUUCCUCCUCCACGUCUGCUUUUUUUAAAAAAAAAAAUUGCCACAUCAGUUAAGCUUGUCGCCGGAAAAUGCCACGUCUGCAUUUUGGCCGGUUUUUCGCCGGAUUGGCACUUAAGUGUCCCAUUUUACUCCGAUGAUGGCACUUAAGUGUACCAUUUUAAAGUUAUGGCACUUAAGUGUCCCGGCGUGCCAAGUUAUGGCACUCCAGGUGUCCCGACCUCCUAGUCGAGUAUUGCACAGUACAUUGUCAUUUUCUGAGCACUAGCAACGUUGCAUUCAGACAAGGCGGCAUGGAAUUAUUUGCCCAGCUGCACAUCGCUCGACCAUACAUUCAUGGACUGUUCCUCAGGAAAGCAUAUAGACAUGUGGCAGAUGCAGAACAUUUCACGAGAUUAAAAAAAAGAAAAUAAUUUUAAAAAAACUAUAGUUUCAACUUCAAAACAUGUCGAACGCCUGUUUCCACAUCAAGAAUUUGGGACCUCCCAAAUAUUUUCUUGGUAUUAAGAUUGCUCGAUCUAGUAAAGGUAUUAGUCUUAGUAAGGUAUUAAGAUUGCUCGAUCUAGUAAAGGUAUUAGUCUUAGUAAGAGGAAGUUCAUCCUAUAAAUCAUUUUUGAAGCGGGAUUAUCCAAAUACAAGUCCGCCAUCAUACUAAUCGAACAAAAUACUAAGCUGCCAACUCAUGGACUUAGAUUCUUCAUCUUUUGAGGAUUCAUUGCUCAAGGAUCCAUCAGCAUAUCGGCAACUUGUUGCAAAAUCAAUAUACCUCAUCAUCACAUGGCCCGAUAUAUGUUAUGCAGUGCAAGUACUCUUUAUUCAUGCAUAGUCCAAAACAAUUCCAUAUGAAUGCAGCCCUAGAAGUUGUGAAAUAUUUGAAGUGAUGUCUAAGACUUGGAAUAUUUUUAUCUUGUGACUGCAACAUGAAGAUGAGAGCUUUUUGUAAUAUAAAUUAUGCUACUUGCCUGAUGAACAAGAGAUCUAUUUUUGUUUAUGCAUUAAAUUGGGAAAGUCAUUAAUCUCGUGGAAAAGGAAGAAGUAGUCAAUUAUAUCAUUGUCAUCAGCUGAAUCAAAGUAUCAAGCCAUGGGGAAAACUACCUGCGAAGUAGUUUGGAUAGGAGGAUUACUCUCGGAUCUUGGAUUACAGGUUAGUGGAGCAACUAAAUUGUUUUGUGAUAAUGAUGCUACAUUUAAAUUAACAACAAAUCUAGUUUUUCAUGAAAGAACAAGACAUAUAGAAGUUGAUUGUCAUUUUACUCAAAUAAGAUUAGAGAAAGAGUUGUUGUAACUAAAGGAAUUGGAAUUAUGUCAAUAGGAUAUUUUGGACAAAGGGUUAAUGGGAGCAGAUUUGUGACUCAAGUAAAAAUUUAUGAAUUUUUAUGAGAUUGUAAAAAUUUUAGGGUAUUAUACAAAAAAAAAAGGUCUAAGGUAGAAUUAGUAUGUGAGUUAACAUUGAGGAUUUUUUAUGGGACAAAAAAAAGGUAAUGGUAGAAUUGUGAAUGGAUCUAAAUUAUUGUUCUUUUUUGAGACAAAAGGUACAAUUUGGAGAAAAGCUAAAGCAGGAGGUUUUUUUUCAUAAGGGUGUUAAGGUUCAUUUUGUCAUUCAUAUGACGUCAGCAUUUCUUAUUUUCUCCUACCUUUUCGUCAGCACGUGCGUCUUCGGUAGCACGUGCAGGGAUCGAGCGAGCUCGAGCUAGACGACGGCAAUGGCGGCGGCGUCGACGACAACGGUGAGGAGGAUCAAACUGGGGUCGCAGGGGCUGGAGGUGUCGGCGCAGGGGCUGGGCUGCAUGGGCAUGUCCGCCUUCUACGGCCCUCCCAAGCCCGAGCCCGACAUGAUCGCCCUCAUCCACCACGCCGUCGGCUCCGGCGUCACCUUCCUCGACACCUCCGACAUAUACGGCCCCCACACCAACGAAAUCCUCCUCGGAAAGGUCGGUUCUCUCAGUCUCUCUUUUGCCUCCUCAUGAAUUGUAUGUGCUUAUAGUGUUACGGAAUUUAGCUUCAUCGAGCAGGAUGGGAUGCUCUGAUCCUGCGUCAUGGUUUUCUAAUUUCGGGGUUGAUUUUGAGCAGGCGCUGAAGGGAGGGGUGAGGCAGAAGGUGGAAUUGGCGACCAAGUUCGGAGCCGUCAUCGGGGACGGGAAGAGGGAGGUCCGGGGCGAUCCGGCAUACGUGAGGGCGGCUUGCGAGGCCAGCUUGAAGCGGCUCGAGGUCGAUUGUAUCGACCUCUACUACCAACACCGUGUCGACACUCGAGUCCCCAUCGAAGUCACUGUAUGGAUCCUCCUUAAACCUUUACCUCUCUCUCGAGACUUUCUCGGAGCCAUAUGAUCAGUUGCUAAACUAGAUUGGUGUUAAUUAUGCAUCGUCAUGUUGUUACAAGUUUGUUGGAUUUUGUGGCAGUUGCUUGUAAAUAUUGUUAAAUGAGAUUUAAGAUCGGGUGAUAGCAGAGUUCAAGAUGCGGCACGAUGCUGUUAAAGGGGUUGUGGAAUUUAGUGGUUUAGUGGCUUGAGUUUUUGUUUUAUGGGCAUCUUUUACAAGUUGAGGGUCAACAAUCAAGAAAAUCAUUCGAAAUCUUCCUUUGAGAUGAAAGUGCUCCGGGGUUCAUCCUCAUUUAUAUACAAGAAUCACAUUUGAAGUUGUUCCUUGACUUUCUAUGGAAUGGAGACAUUUGGUUCUUGACAUAUCAUCGUGAAAUGUGACAAGUACUUGGAACACUUCUUUAAUUUGCUCUCUUCUGUGAUCGAUUAGAGAAAUCCACCUCCGUUAACGCAAUACCUAGCGACUUUUUUGUCACAUUGACAUGCAUAAUAAUUGACUAAACUAUUGAGGGAUCGGGAAACAUAAAAAGCUAACGAUGUGCAUAAUUUUCUGGAUCUUAACACGUAGGAUCUUGACGGUUGUUGUUUUGUCUUGUGAAUAUGCACAGAUUGGAGAGCUAAAGAAGCUCGUUGAAGAGGGUAAGAUCAAGUACAUCGGUAUGUCUGAGGCCUCUGCGUCAACAAUCAGAAGAGCACAUGCUGUUCAUCCCAUCACAGCGGUGCAAUUGGAGUGGUCGCUGUGGUCAAGAGAUGUGGAGGCAGAGAUCAUUCCCACGUGCAGGUAGGAUAUCACUCUGUUAGUUUAUUUAUGCAGUAAAAUCAUCUUUCUUCUGACUCUGCUCUUCCUUCAAAAUGUUGACUAGGGAGCUUGGCAUUGGAAUCGUUGCCUACAGUCCUUUAGGACGAGGAUUCUUUUCUGUUGGCUCCAAGUUGGUGGAGAAUUUCUCCAAGGAUGACUUCAGACAGGUCUGUUUCUGCUGGUCGACAUAAUUAGAUGCUCACAGUGACUGUCAUUCUGAUUGAAGUGCUGGAAACCUGUUCUUGUGGCAUAAAGAAAAGUAUCUGGAUGGGAUGAAUAAAACUUGGUGACACAAAUGCUUCACGUUCUUAUUUGUCUUCAAUCCAGCACUCGCCAGACAUCCCACCUCUUUUGAUUCUAGAUAGAUGUAAAAUCACAAGUAAUGGCUUU
rnacentral:lncRNA from 1 species